rnacentral:rRNA from 1 species
GGCGGACGGGUGAGUAAUGUAUAGUUAAUCUGCCCUUUAGAGGGGGAUAACAGUUGGAAACGACUGCUAAUACCCCAUACUCCUUUUUAUCUUAAUGAUAAUUGGGAAACGUUUUUUUCGCUAAAGGAUGAGACUAUAUGGUAUCAGGUAGUUGGUAGGGUAAGAGCCUACCAAGCCAAUGACGCCUAGCUGGUCUGAGAGGAUGAUCAGCCACACUGGAACUGAGACACGGUCCAG